GCGUAACAAGGUUUCCGUAGGUGAACCUGCGGAAGGAUCAUUACCGAGUGAGGGCCCUCUGGGUCCAACCUCCCACCCGUGUCUAUCGUACCUUGUUGCUUCGGCGGGCCCGCCGUUUCGACGGCCGCCGGGGAGGCCUUGCGCCCCCGGGCCCGCGCCCGCCGAAGACCCCAACAUGAACGCUGUUCUGAAAGUAUGCAGUCUGAGUUGAUUAUCGUAAUCAGUUAAAACUUUCAACAACGGAUCUCUUGGUUCCGGCAUCGAUGAAGAACGCAGCGAAAUGCGAUAAGUAAUGUGAAUUGCAGAAUUCAGUGAAUCAUCGAGUCUUUGAACGCACAUUGCGCCCCCUGGUAUUCCGGGGGGCAUGCCUGUCCGAGCGUCAUUGCUGCCCUCAAGCACGGCUUGUGUGUUGGGCCCCCGUCCCCCUCUCCCGGGGGACGGGCCCGAAAGGCAGCGGCGGCACCGCGUCCGGUCCUCGAGCGUAUGGGGCUUUGUCACCUGCUCUGUAGGCCCGGCCGGCGCCAGCCGACACCCAACUUUAUUUUUCUAAGGUGACCUCGAUCAGGUAGAUCCCAGUU
rnacentral:rRNA from 1 species